rnacentral:lncRNA from 1 species
AUCGUGUCAGCCUUGGUAGGCGUGAUUGAGGUUUUAAUAACAUUGAAAGAUUCUCUGUUCCUUUUACCUCUCACCAACCAGGUCUGCAUUUCCAUGCUCAUCAAACACCUGUGCAGACUGUCUCUGAUUUGCAACUUGCUUCAGAUUGUGUCUCAGAUAUUAACCCCGGAUGUGACAAUAUAAGCUCAACAGACUGCCUUGGCCACCUUAGCAGACUCCUCACUGCGGUCAGAGCCUGCAGCCUCUCCCUACUCCCACUGGUCCUUGGCCAGCAGCUCCUGACACCCAGAGGAUUCAGCUUGGGGGUGAAAACAAAAGGCAAAAGAACACGUGAGGGAGAUGGCGCAGAGUUUGGAGAGCACUGACUCUGACUGCCUCUGAAUUUCUUGAAUUCUUCUGAGACCAAAAGAAGAAUAAAUCAAAGAAGAACUCUUACAUUGGUAUGUAGACACAUCCUAUUGAGAUGCCUAGAGUUACUGAUGGAAUCUUUCUUCACAGUGCUUUGUCUUAUUCAAAGUGCUUGAAGGUUGAUUUCUGCAAGGGGGGUGUUCUCCUGUCUGAUUUCCUCGACUUAAUGAUUUGGAAUAUGUGUGACAUAAAAAUGAGCAACGUAUGUGUUGAUGGC